UACGUAGGGGGGCGAGCGUUGUCCGGAUUCAUUGGGCGUAAAGAGCUCGUAGGCGGUUCGGCAAGUCGGGUGUGAAAACUCCAGGCUCAACCUGGAGACGCCACCCCGAUACUGCUGUGACUCGAGUCCGGUAGGGGACCACGGAAUUCCUGGUGUAGCGGUGAAAUGCGCAGACUAUCAGGAGGAACACCGGUGGCGAAGGCGGUUCUCUGGGCCUUACCUGACGCUGAGGAGCGAAAGCGUGGGGAGCGAACAGG
rnacentral:rRNA from 1 species